UCCACGCCGUAAACGAUGGAUACUAGUUGUUGGGCAUUAGCUCAGUGACUAAGCGAAAGUGAUAAGUAUCCCACCUGGGGAGUACGGUCGCGAGACUGAAACUCAAAGGGAAUUGACGGGGGGCCCCGCACAAGCGGUGGAGCAUGUGGUUUUAAUUCGAUGAUACGCGAGGAACCUUACCAGGGCUUAAAUG
rnacentral:rRNA from 1 species